GAUGAACGCUGGCGGCGUGCCUAAUACAUGCAAGUCGAGCGAAGCGGGGACGGGUGAGUAACACGUGGAUAACCUCCUAUAAGACUGGGAUAACCUCGGGAAACCGGAGCUAAACCGGAUACUUAGAGAUGGAUCCGCGCUGCAUUAGCUAGUUGGUACGGUAACGGCUUACCAAGGCAACGAUGCAUAGCCGACCUGAGAGGGGGAUCGGCCACACGGGAACUGAGAAACGGUCCAGCCUCCUACGGUAGGCAGCAGUGGGGAAUCUUCCGCAAGGGGCGAAAGCCUGACGGAGCCACGCCGCGUGGGUGAUGAAGGUCUUCGGAUCGUAAAGUUCUGUUAUUAGGGAAGCGGUACCUGAUCAGAAUGCCACGGCUAACUACGUGCCAGCCGCCGCGGUAAUUC
rnacentral:rRNA from 1 species